GCAAAACUUUAGGGGUGUCCCGUUUGCGGGCUGAGAUUAUACCCUUUGAACCUGAUGCAGUUCAUACUGCCGAAGGGAAAAGUGAAAAGCUUUCU
rnacentral:ncRNA from 1 species